GGUACCACAAGCAACAACUCCAUAUGGGCUAGAUCAAGAAGAAGAAGAGGGAGAUUCAACAAUGAUAAGUUGGCAGGCGAUUCUCAUGGGUUAUGGUUGUGGACUUGUUAUUGGACUGUCCAUAAUAUACACAAUGUUGUCAACUCAAUAUCCAGCAUGGUUUUCAAGGAUGGAUGUAGAAUUGGAACAUAAAAUUCUUACGAGAAUGAGAAGGCACAAGAAAAGACAUUAGUGUGUAACCUCCAAGAUUCAAGUCCACUGCUUUGCUGGGAUGCGAAUAAAAGCUUUUGAUUUCAUAGUUUGUGAUGUUUCAUAAAGUGUUUGUGUUUUGUUU